rnacentral:misc_RNA from 1 species
GAUGAAGAACGUAGUGAAAUGCGAUAAGUAGUGUGAAUUGCAGAAUUCAGUGAAUCAUCGAAUCUUUGAACGCACAUUGCGCCCUUUGGUAUUCCAAAGGGCAUGCCUGUUCGAGCGUCAUUUGUACCCUCAAGCUUUGCUUGGUGUUGGGCGUCUUGUCUCUAGCUUUGCUGGAGACUCGCCUUAAAGUAAUUGGCAGCCGGCCUACUGGUUUCGGAGCGCAGCACAAGUCGCACUCUCUAUCAGCAAAGGUCUAGCAUCCAUUAGGCCUUUUUUUCAACUUUUGACCUCGGAUCAGGUAGGGAUACCCGCUGAACUUAAGCAUAUCAAUAAGCGGAGGA